UCUUAUGGAUGAGCAAAGAAAGUAGUUUCUUGUGAUGGAAUCUGCUCCUGGCUAAAAUGCUGUGAA
rnacentral:pre_miRNA from 1 species